UAAGGAAUAUUGGUCAAUGGGCGGAAGCCUGAACCAGCCAUGCCGCGUGCAGGAUGACUGCCCUAUGGGUUGUAAACUGCUUUUGUCCAGGAAUAAACCUUUCUACGUGUAGGAAGCUGAAUGUACUGGAAGAAUAAGGAUCGGCUAACUCCGUGCCAGCAGCCGCGGUAAUACGGAGGAUCCGAGCGUUAUCCGGAUUUAUUGGGUUUAAAGGGUGCGUAGGCGGCCUAUUAAGUCAGGGGUGAAAUACGGUGGCUCAACCAUCGCAGUGCCUUUGAUACUGAUGGGCUUGAAUCCAUUUGAAGUGGGCGGAAUAAGACAAGUAGCGGUGAAAUGCAUAGAUAUGUCUUAGAACUCCGAUUGCGAAGGCAGCUCACUAAGCUGGUAUUGACGCUGAUGCACGAAAGCGUGGGGAUCGAACAGGAUUAGAUACCCUGGUAGUCCACGCCCUAAACGAUGAUAACUCGAUGUUGGCGAUAGACAGCCAGCGUCCAAGCGAAAAGCGUUAAGUUAUCCACCUGGGGAGUACG
rnacentral:rRNA from 1 species